rnacentral:lncRNA from 1 species
CAAUUUCUUUCAAAUGAGAGCAUCGAAUUUCACUCCAUUGAUGAAUGGAUAAUCGGUUAAAUAGAUAAGUAAUAUUUUGCAUUGAUCAGAUAGUAUUAACGAUCACUUAUUUAAUUAACUCAAUAAGAUAAUAUCGAAUGAUUUUUCAAAGCCAAUAGCAGUUAAUAACUUUAUAAUCAAAAUAUAUCUUUCUCAAGCUUUCGGUUUUUACUUUUACUUUUUGCUUUUUCUCAAACACUUAAACCUGCAGUCAGGCCAGAAAGCUGGAAACUCCAAUCCGAUUGAAACAGUAUGAGGGAUCAUCAGAUUGUGAAAGGAGAGGAGUUUGAGAGAAAAGCUGAGAAGAAGAUUAGUUGUUGGGGUUUAUUUUGUUCUAAGCAUGAGGAUGCUGCUGAUCUUUAUCAAAAAGCCGCCACUUCCUUUAAACUCGCCAAAUCAUGUGAGCCCUUCGAUUUAUUGUUUGAAAAUUUCAACCUUUAUUGAGCAUCGGGUUUGUUUUAAAAUGUUAACUUUAUUAAGAGGACUGGCUCAUAUUUUAGCUAUUGGAUUUCGACUAAUCAAAAGCUAUAAAAGGAUCCAAUUGCUCGUUUUAGAUUUUGGGCUCAGAUACUGAGUCAUUGUUUUCAAUGUAAAAUGGCAAUAUUGGAGGAAUAAGUUAAAGUCCUAUAUUUUGGUUAGUGUUUUUAUCUUUAACAGACUUGGGAUUUUACUUUAACAAGCUUUAUCUUCUGUUGAUGUAAGGAAUUAUGAUAUUUUGUUUUAUUAUGAAUGACUUUGUUCCAUAAUUGAAUCUGAACAGUGUUAGUAGGGAGAUUGCGAUUCUUGGUUCUAUUCUUUUUCCUAGUGUUAUUAAGUGCCUUUGCUUUGUGAAGAGUAUUUGAUCAUCUGGAUUAGUAAUAUAGAAUGCUUAGGCUAUUACUUGGCUUAUGGGACCCUCGGAAUGGAGUUUUAGGCAGAAAUUUGCGGAGGCAUGAUUCUUUAAAACUCAGUUUCAUCCACACAUUCUCUCAUUAAAAUAAUUCUGAGCAUAAAUCCAUAACUUUUCCUACUUUUUAACCAACAUUCUCCAAAAAUACGACUUUUCACCAUAACCAUUCUCAGAAAAACUACAAUAAACAGGCCCUAAGCAAAGAACUUGUCUUUUUAUUUACUUUUUUUCGUUUUUCGAAGGGUGAAAGUGUAUGAUUCUGUAGUAAGCAUGAACUAUAGAUUAACUUGAUUAGAAAUUGGAAUUAUAGUGAUUGCUAGUUAUGGUGAAAUUCUGUUUAGAUUCUUAGGAUGCUAAUAUACUAUUUUGGUGUUUCCCAGGGGAUAGAGCUGCAAUGGUCAAUAUUAAAUUGGCUAACUGUAAUUUGAAGGUCGGUGAUUUGGCAUUUUUAUGGCUGUAAUAGAAUUGUGCAUGUGAUAGCAAUAACUCAUAACCUUUUGCAGUUGGGUAUCAAGCAUGAAGCAGCGCGUGCUUAUAUUGAUGCUGCGAAUUGUUACAAGAAAACGUCCCCUAAAAGUGUGUAUUAUCUUCAUUUGAUUAUGAUGAUUAUAGUUAUUAAGUUUAGUACCAAAAGUAUUGAGAAGUGAUUUGGAAAAUGUUGUUUAUAUCUGCUUAGAAGUUGCGAAUGAAGUAUAUUGUUUUUGUUGGGGGUUUGCAGAGGCUUUAUCAUGUUUAGAUCAGGCUGUGAAUAUGUUCUUGGAAAUCAGCAGACUCAACAUGGCUGCACGUUAUUGCAAGGUACAUUCCACAUGCUAUUGUAUUAUUCUUCUUCCAAAAUUGAAAUAGAAGUAGGCAGGGUAAUAUUUGACAUUGCUUCCAGACUCGCAUAAGAAACAAGUAGAUAAAAUUGCGACCAAUACAAGAAGCAUUAUUAAGGAAGACAUAUUUCUAAGUUACCUUACACGUAGAAAGAAAGACAUAAUUAUAUAUUUCGAACAUAAGGUUUAUUAAAUCAUUAAAGUUUUCUGCUUACCAAUCUCCAAUUAUUUCCUCAUCUUUAAAUUACCGUUUCCUUCAUGCCAAGAAUUUUUUAGCAAAUGAUUUUUAAGCUUUUGUGUAGAACGUGUAUAAAAUCUUCUAAUUAUGGGAUGAUCCCUAACUAUGGGAAGUUGUCAACUUUCCUUGAUUCUUUAGGAGAUUUUAUCUUUCUACCAUAUUGGGUCUUGUUAUCUUUUUUGUAAACCAACUAUGUCGUGUGUAUAUGUGGGCAAAUUGUAAAUUUUAAUAUAUGAAAAAGAAGGGUUUCUUCUUCCUACAAUUUUGUCAUACAAUAGCAUAUAGUAUCAAAGCCCACUAGCUUCAAACAAUUCCGAUCAAAAUAAGACUCAAAUGAGCAUAAGGAUUCCAAAAUUAAUUUUUUCAAAGGAGAAUCAUCUUGCUAGAGCAUGUUAAAGAUAAAUGCCACGUCGGAUAAAUAUAAGAACAUUGACAAACGUAUUAAGGUUUGGGCUAUUUUUUUUUAACAAAGUUGACCUUUAAGAUAGAAGUCCAAGUCUUAGUAAUAAACCUUUAAACCUGUACUUGACUUGAGUUUAAUGCUUAUCUAGGAGAUUGGCGAAUUAUAUGAGCAGCAAAAGAACUUUGACCAAGCACUUUUGUAUUUCGAGUGGUCUGCGGACCUAUUUCAGGCUGUGGAAGCAACAACAUCUACAUAUCAGUGCAGGUUGAAAGUCGCACAAUUUUAUGCUCAGUCAGGGAAGUAAGUGAUCUCAACUGAUUCUAUGUCACUCUAUUUUUAUUUAUUUAUUUAUUUUCCCAAAACUUUGAAUUUAAGCUUACUACUUUCCAUUUAUUGGAUUGAACAAAUUGGGAAAGAUAAAUUACAUGUUCUUUGUGAAGUUAUGCCUCUAAUAGAAAUGAAAUAUGUAAACAUAAUGAGCAGGAUGUGGCAAUUGGUAAUAGUUGUGCUAACCGAACUCUAGGCGAUUUGAAUUCGUAAGCAUGCUUGAGAGUGCUUUUUAGUAAUAAUAAAUUGUGUGUCCUACAAAAUAUGUAGAUAAAAAUGGCCAGUAAUUGUGGUCGUACGAAAUGUGUAAAUAAAAAGCAUGUAAGGCAACUUAAAUUAUAGUAUUGCCAAACUUGCACCAUAUCUAUGUGGAAUAAGCAAAUACCUUUUGUAUUCAGAUAUCCUCAGGCAAUCGAAAUAUAUGAAGAGAUAGCACGUCACUCCCUAAACAACAAUUUAUUGAAGUAUGGAGUUAGAGGGCAUCUUCUUAAUGCUGGAAUUUGCCAACUUUGUAAAGGAGAAAUUGUUGCGAUAACCAAUGCACUGGAAAAAUAUCAGGUAUACAUUCUUCUUUUAUCUAGACCAUUAAGUUAUUUCUCCCUGUAGUAAUACUGGGAAUCAACAAUUUUCCAUUGCUCGUGUAGGACAUGGAUCCUACUUUCUCAAGGACUCGGGAGUACAAACUCUUAGUUGUAAGUUUUCAUUUAAUGUUGGUUUGAUGCAUCAAUUUUUAAAGAUGUCAUAGGGCUGCUGUUUUUUUUCACGGACUGGUGCUUUAUAUACUCAAUUUUUAGAAUAAUGGUAUCUAGACAAUCAGUCUAAGUGGUACUAUGUGAUGUGUUCAAUUAAAUGUGGAAUUAUGUGACACAGUUAAUUUGGCCUCUCAUUUAAUGUCACUUAGUACCAUUUAGACUGGUAUUAACAUGUGCUAUAUAGCAUAACUCUAGUUUUUAUCUUCGAUGCUAUAAAGUUAUAAACCUUGCUAAUGUGAUUAGAGUUCUUUUCUUUUCUUUUUUCUUUUUUUGCUUGUUAGGAUUUGGCUGCUGCAGUUGACGAGGAAGAUGCUGCAAAAUUCACAGCUGCUGUAAAGGAGUUUGAUACCAUAACCCGGCUGGUAAAUUAUUAUUUGAUUUAAUCUUAUUAUUUUUCUAGUAAUUCCUUACUCCGAUGUGAAAGAUUAUGCCUCUCUCUGAAAAGAUCUCAACCACAAAACCAAAUUAAUGAAAUCUAUUGCACAUCUUAUGUAGGCAUCAAAAAAUAAGAUCUUGAAUCUUAAAUUAAUCUCCAACUAAUGCAGGAGCAUGGUUGAAACGGGGGUUGGACACAAGGAAGUGGACUUGGAAUAGAUUCCUGAACUUGAUUCUAGGUGAUAUAAGAUGGAUUGCAUUAGUGCCAUGAGCUAUAGCUUUUGGAAAGAGUGGUGGCAAUACCUUAUGUCACAAACACAAUAAAAUAGAGAAAAAAGAACCCGAAUCAAAGAAAUAGGAGUGAUGUUUAUAAAAAGUCUGAAAGCGAACUUUUUAUUUUUAUUAUAUUUCGUAAAAGUAACUUGUGUAUUUUCGACUGUAAACUUGUAGCUCAUGUUGUUUCCUAUUUCUAAAUGCCACAAUACUCAUUUCCUAGUCGCUUCCAGGAAACUUGGAGGACCACUCUUCUGUUGCGAGUGAAGGAAACUCUAAAAGCUAAAGAACUUGAAGAGGAUGAUCUGACCUGACUGGAUAUAACUACUGAAACUUUCUCCUCUUUACCAUACAAAAUAACAUAUGGUCGUCAUCAUUGUUAUUAUUACCGUUAUUUUUGGGAUUUAUGGAGUUCCCUGUUUGUGAAUAACUUUGAUUCAGUCCAUGGACUUUUUGAAAUAUGUAUAUUACUUGAUUUACUUGAUUUUCAUUUUAUCAUUGUAGUUCUUUCCUAUUAAAUUUGGGAGAUAUGAUAGAUAAAGUAUUUAUAUAAUUUUAUAUCCAG